rnacentral:misc_RNA from 1 species
ACUAAUAUUGCUUUCAGUUUUAUUUUACUUUCGCAAUGGUCAAAGUCCGUACUCGGAUCAGCUGCCUGGGAUAACAUGGAAAGUAGCGUCUUGACGAAGGUAUUCACUGGGUUAAGGAGACUUUUUUACGCUGUCUCUCCCAGCGAAACCUCGUUUCCUACUGUGGAUGAAGUUCCUAAAUAUGUCGAUGAGGCUAUACCAUUCUUUAUUGGCUUGGUUAUUCUGGAAGUACCAAUACUGUACUGGAAAGGGAAGAAACUUCCACGAUUUAACGACAGCUUUAGUUCCCUGGCUAAUGGUCUUCUUUCUCUGUUACACGGGCUCCUUUUCCGGUCAGUGGAGCUGACGACUUACGUGUGGGUUUAUGAACGCUUCAACGUGAUUAAUCUCCCCUGGGACAGCGCCUGGACCUGGUUACUAGGCUUCAUAGGCGUGGACUUCGGCUAUUACUGGGUACACCGCUGUGGACACGAUGUUCUACCUCCCACUUGCUAUCGUGAUGCCGCCGUCAGUCUUCUUGGUUCACACACAGUUCAACCUGUUGUACCAGUUCUGGAUUCACACAGAGACUGUAGACUCUCUGGGGCCUCUAGAGUGGAUUCUGAACACACCAAGUCACCACAGAGUUCACCACGGUAGAAACCGAUACUGCAUUGAUAAGAACUAUGGAGGAACGUUGAUUGUAUUUGAUAGGAUAUUUGGUACUUUUGCAAAGGAGCAGGAAGAAGUCGUAUAUGGACUAGUCCACCCUCUGACGUCAUGGGACCCCAUAAAUGCCCAGAUCUGUCAUCUUCAGUACAUGUGGGACGUAUUCAAAGAAACAGAAGGAUUGGGUAAUAAACUAGCAGUGAUUUGGAAGGGACCUGGCUGGGCUCCGGGUAAGCCCCGGACUGGGCUUAUUGAAGAUAUACCGGAUAUCCAUGCCCCUCAACCGAAAUUUGACCGGAAGUUACCUUUGUGGACAAACCUAUACAUCUGGACACACAUGCUACUCCUUAUCGUGUUCUAUGGUAUCCUUGGUCAUUACAAAUCGGAACUUUCGCCAUAUAUAACGCUGGGUGGAGUACUUUUCAUCAUCUUUACAUUAUCUAGUUUCGGUGCUCUUUAUGACCACAGACCACGGGCUUCUCUACAGGAGCUCCUCCGCUGUGGUGUCUUCCUUCUGAUUGUUAGAGUGUUAGCUGCACCUACGCUUCUCUCUUCCACUCGUGGACUCGCCUUAAUAGCCGUCUAUUUGACGUCUUUUGCUAUAUGGGUUUUUGUUUGUGUUCGACAAUUUUCGGUAAAAAUUAAACCCAAAUCCUCUUAAAGAAGUUGAUGUUUAUAUGGAAGACUGUGAUAUACAUGUUGAAAUAUUGAUUAAUCUGUAGAUUUAGAUUUCUGUAUUCUUUUCUCCAUUUACUUUUCAUGUACAAGUUAAUGAUAUUAGAUUUGGUAUGUACAAUCAUUUAUGUUUUAGAUGUACAUUGUUUGCAAUUAUGAAGGAUAAUUAUCAGACAGUUUUUACCAGUUGACAGUUUAGUGACAGAUAUAUGUAUAUUAAAUGUUUGUAAGAGUUUAGAUUCAGAUUUAACACUGAAUCUCAUAUAAGUUAUAUGUAAGUACUAUCUAUCUCAUUUACUUGACAUGCAUAGUUUGCCAAUAAAGCAAACUUAUAAGAUGGUUCACAACUUGAAAAGCUCUACGUCAUUAAAUAAAUAAUUUUAUGCCUUUUAACUUUUUAAUGCUCAAAUAUUGAUCCAUGAAGUUGAUGUGAAUAUAGGAAUCACGAGAAUACGACAAAGAAAAGAGUUGAAUUGAAUUGUAUAUACAUGGAGAUAGAAUUAAAGUAUAUACAGUUGUACAUAAAUAAAAUAAAUAAUACCAACCU